rnacentral:lncRNA from 1 species
UUUAAACAAAAUUAUAUACAUCAUAAAAAUCAUAAAAAAAAAUUAAAACAAAAGGACUCUAUUUCAUCUAGUAUCACCUAAGAACCAUGUUAACAAAUUACUUACAAAUUGAUAUAUUCAAUCAACUUUCUUAUUAUUUUUUACAAAAAUAACCCAUUUUUUCAUUGAAAUUCCCAAAAUACCCCCGAUUUCAAAAAAAAA